rnacentral:rRNA from 1 species
UACGGGGGGGGCAAGCGUUGUUCGGAAUUACUGGGCGUAAAGCGCGCGUAGGCGGCUUUGCAAGUCGGGUGUGAAAUCCCCAGGCUUAACCUGGGAACUGCAUUCGAGACUGCAUUGCUAGAGUAUGGGAGAGGGAAGUGGAAUUUCCGGUGUAGCGGUGAAAUGCGUAGAUAUCGGAAGGAACAUCAGUGGCGAAAGCGACUUCCUGGACCAAUACUGACGCUCAUGUGCGAAAGCGUGGGUAGCAAACAGG